GGGGACGAUGAGCUUACUGGUUACUUUACUUCGAAGGACCGAGUAAAAACCAACAAAAAACUAGUAGAAAGGGACAGAUAAUUUUAUAUUAAAAUUAAAGUCAAUCGUAAAACUGUGAAAUUACCAAAUGAAUUGUAGUACUUUUAUAUUUUAAACAUUUAUGGCUCAUCUGAUAAAUGUUUGACUAUGUAGACUAUGUACAUGGAUCAUCUGACCCGAUAAUAUGGAUUUAGUGUGGGAGAGUAUUAUUGCAGAGGUAGUGUAGUGUAGACACAUUGAUCAUAUACCAGACAUACACAGUGACAACAUUCCUUCUGAAACAGAUUGUUGCAGUGUGAUGCAAGGGAAAGGAGGGGGAGGAGAUCUGUCCUGCUUUCAGCUGCUUCUGCCUCCCUUUGGAUGGGCUAAUGCCCAUCAGCCACAGAUGAGUUUUGAUUAUAUUUAUUUGACCAUUUCAAAAUAAUACAACUACUCAUGUGGAUAUGGCACUAUGCCAUUAAAAUAAUCGAGGAUGACAUAACACAUUUAAAAAAACAUGUAUUUUCAUUGUGGUCCUCAUGUAAAUACAUGAAAACCAAAGAUAUAGAAGAUUAUAACAUGAAAGCAAAAUACAUCUUAUCAAUAGGGAGGAAACCAUAAAACAAAUAAAAUAGAUUACCAAGUAACGCUCUGGAAACAAUUAUACUUUAUUUAAGCCUGUGCAGUUCUAAAGCAUUUAGCCCAUAAAGCAUUUCUUAAGCUUUAUCUUAAAACGCUCUAGUGUAGGGAUGGAUUUUAUAUGGUUUGGUACACCAUUCCAUUCCUCUGCACCAGUGUUAAGGAAAUAGCUUUUUCCAGCCAUGCUCCUAUAGCGCAGGAGUCUGAUAUUAGCAACACUGGCUCUGGUGUGAUGGCUAUGAGAGUCUAAUGAAAUGAAAAUAACCAGACAGGUAACUGGGGGCAAGGUCAUGUAUAACUUUAAAAAAAACAUCAACAGUUUGAUUUGCACCACCCGGAGAUCAACUGGAAGCCGGUUCAGUUCCUUGAAAUUAUUAGGACCAAUGUCCGUCCUAGGGCUGAGCAUGAGCAUAAUUCUCAUUAGUUUGAUUAGGGCCAUUUAAAUUUGUGCUUAAGAUUUUUUGUUAUGCCUCUGAAACAUGCGAUACAAGCAUAGUCAUAGUGGCCUGUAUCAGAGAUAUUGCCAGGGUCCUCAUAGUCUCUGUAUCCAGGAACUUGGCCAAUGAACUUCAGAGCCAUGAGUUCACCUGUCAUGUGUUGGUCCAGUUCACAUCCAAAGUAUGUAGCAGAGCAUUUUUACUUCAGCUCUACACCAUUACACUUGACCAAGAAAUUGGAAGAGUUUCUCACGUUGUGUUUAGAACCAAAAGGGAUACAUUCUGUCUUUCCUAAAUGCAGAGACAGUUUGCUGUUGGAUAACCACUUUCUGACUUUAGUCAGUUUGCUGCAUAGGGUCUUUUCAACAAUAUCCUUUUUCUUAUGUAAAACCAAGAGGGCAGAAUCAUCCAGAACAGAGGGAAUGAACAGGCAGAGUCCAUAUCAUUUAUGUAGAGCAAAGAAAGCAAAGGCUCCAAAAUGCUCCCCUGGGCGAUACAAAUCAAAUCAAGUUUAUUUUAUAUAGCCAUUCGUACAUCAGCUAAUAUCUAGAAGUGCUGUACAGAAACCCAGCCUAAAACCUCAAACAGCAAGCAAUGCAGGUGUAGAAGCACGGUGGCUAGGAAAAUCUCCCUAGAAAGGCCAAAACCUAGGAAGAAACCUAGAGAGGAACCAGGCUAUGAUGGGUGGCCAGUCCUCUUCUGGCUGUGCCCGGUGGAGAUGAACCGUUUAUCUCCUUAGCAUCAGACAGUGUUCAGCCCACAUCCACCCUUUGGACCCUAUCAAUUAAGUAUGACCACCCAUAAUAAGGAGUCUGUGCAAAACCAAUUGCUUUCAGUUUGUACAACACAAUUUUAUGGUUCACAGUAUCAAAUGCUUUUAGUAGGUCAAGCAUGACAAUACCACAGAAGUUGCCCUCGUCAAUUACUUGCUUGAUAAAAUCUGUCAUUUAUAUUAAACAAGUAUCAGUAGAGUAGGAUUGUCUAAAACUGGACAGAAGGUCAUAUAAAAUGUUAUUGUCAUCAAUGUACUUUAUGAUCUGUUCAUGGAGUGCUCUUUCUAAAACCUUUAACAACAAACUCAAGAUUGACACUGGUCUGUAGUUCCCUUGUUCAACUUUGCUUCCUUUCUUGUAUAAAGGAACAACUCUUGCAUGUUUCAACUCUGGUGGUACCUUUCCAUGUUGAAUGGAAAGAUUGAUGAUGUGUGUUACAUAAGGUCCAAAAUUAUCAGCAGCAUCACCCAGGAAUCUAGCUGGGAUGUUAUCCAGUCCUGUGGCUUUCUGUUUGUCUAGAUCUUUAAGCAUCUGAAGUUGAAACCUGGGAAAACGCAAACUGUCCUUCGGAGAUGCCCUUAGCUGAAUAAUAGGUUUGUAUAUGAUGGUUUCCAAAGGUGCCAAAGCAUUCUGGGAGUUUGUCAACAAGGUUGCUGGCAAUAGUGGGGGAAAACUCAUUAAAUGAUCACUCACCUGUGCUCUGUCAAAGGUUACAGUACCAUUGAUAUUCAGUCCAAUGCUGUUUGACUUUGUUUUUGGCUUGUUGCUACUGCCUAGGUCCUUGAAAGUCUUCCAGAGGGCCCUGGGGUCGUUUUUAUUGUCCUGGGCGCUCAUUUAUCGAUGUUGCGUACGAACACGUAAACCAUGCGUGCGAUCAUUUCUAAGCAAAGUGUGGGAUUUAUCCAUUUGUACUUAUACUUGAGAAUGUGUGUAAAUUUAAGCACACCUCGGACCAUGCGUACGCACAGCACCUUGUGGUAGAAAAGUCUAUCUGCUUAUGAAAUACCACCCACCAAAUGGAGAAAGGAUUGACAUACUGGACCAAAUCAUAAACUAUGACGAUAAAAGAUAAUACAUUAAUAGUUUAUUCAUGUAUUUCUUCUAUAGACUCUUAAACUACUAAUAGUUUUCUCAGGGUGCUAUCGAAUUCAUAAACAUGAAGUCAUUUAAGCCUAAUUGAAUAAUAAAGUAAAUUAAAAAGAGAGUGGAAUGUACGGUUGGAGUCAAUUUUGUUAAACCAGUUAAAUAAUAUAAAAGGCAACACUGAGGCAUUGUGACUUGUCAAAAAUGGCAAAUCUUGCAUUGCUAGAGGAUCUGGCACAAGCUGCAUUACGCAGGGAGCGUGUUUUCAAUGAGCGUGCAGAUUUUUUGCUGAGAGCGACACUUGGCUUAUUAGUAGAUUUCAUUUUCCAAAAGCAUAUUUUAUUGUAUCUCUGCAACCAACUCUCCAGUAUUAGGAAGGGAGACGAAUCGCACCAAUGCCAUCCCAGUGCAUACCCAAGUCCUCUCCACCCUGGGAUUUUUGGCCACUGGAACAUUCCAAAGGGAGAUUGCGGAUCAGUCUGGCAUUUCACAACCAACCAUGAGCCGAAUAUUGACUGCAGUCCUUCGUGGCAUUAUUUCAUCGACCCCCACAAUACAUACAGUUUCCGUACACUGCUGUGCAACAGGCCAGAGUGAAAAGGGAUUUCCAUACCAUAAAUGGAUUUCCCAAUGUCAUUGGAGCAAUUGACUGCACCCACAUCUCAAUAAAAGCACCAUCAUUGAACAAAUUCAACUUUGUCAACAGAAAAUGUUUCCAUUCUGUCAAUGUGCAGGUCAUCUGUGAAUCACAUUUUGAUUUGUUGAAUUUAGUGGACAAAUGGCCAGGUUGGACACAUGAAUAAUUCAUUGUGCAGAACAGUUCAGUAGGCCUUAGCCUCCAGGAAGGAGCUGUUGAGGAUGGACGGCUUAUUGGUAAGUGACUUAUGCUUUAUUUGCACAAUUUUAUUUGCCUCGUUAGACCUCUACUGGGAAACAAUAUCUGAAUGUUCUGUUCAUAACCGCAGGAGCUACCCAUUAAAAACAUGGCUGAUGACUCCCCUCACAAACCCCUCAAACCAGCUAGUGGCCAGGUACAACCAAGCCCACGCAUGCACAAGAACAAUAGUGGAGUGCACCAUAGGCCUGCUGAAAGGGCAUUGGCUGUGCUUGUCUGGGACAGGAGGCACACUGCAAUACCAGCCUAGCAAGGUUUGCCUCUGAAAUGACAUUCCUUCAAAUGCCAUUACGUGAAUGUAAUAAAAUGUACAAUUUCUUUUUUAGGGUUGCUACAUUGUCACGGCUUGCAGUGUGCUCCACAACAUUGCAAUCAAAAACAGCAUUCCACUGAAUGAUCCACCCAGACCCGAUGAGCCCAUGCCUGACAGGGAGUGUUUCCCACCACCCAUAGCUCUGGCACUGAGGACAAUAGUCAAUAUCGGUUUUAGGACUGCGUCAGUCCUGAAGCGCUCGCCAAAGAGGACACCGUUCUGGUAGGCCUGGGGAUGAGGGGAUCAGGCAAAUCACCCACAUCUGUCAAGAUUUCAUGUCUGAAUAUGGUUGCGAAAAUAAAGCUUGACUUAUCAUCA